UACGGAGGAUGCAAGCGUUGUUCGGAAUCACUGGGCUUAAAGAGCAUGUAGGUGGGGUGUCAGGCGUCGGGUGAAAUCCCUCGGCUCAACCGAGAAACUGCCUGGCGAACCGGCAUUCUUGAGGCAGGUAGAGGUGGCUGGAACGACGGGUGGAGCGGUGAAAUGCGUAGAUAUCCGUUGGAACGCCGGCGGCGAAAGCGAGCCACUGGGCCUGUCCUGACACUGAGAUGCGAAAGCGUGGGGAGCAAACAGG
rnacentral:rRNA from 1 species